UCGCGGCUGCCGGGGAUCUGA
rnacentral:misc_RNA from 1 species